rnacentral:rRNA from 1 species
UACGGGGGGGAGCAAGCGUUGUUCGGAUUUACUGGGCGUAAAGGGCGCGUAGGCGGCCAGCACAAGUCAGUUGUGAAAUCUCCGAGCUUAACUCGGAAAGGUCAACUGAUACUGUGCGGCUAGAGUGCAGAAGGGGCAACUGGAAUUCUUGGUGUAGCGGUGAAAUGCGUAGAUAUCAAGAGGAACACCUGCGGCGAAGGCGGGUUGCUGGGCUGACACUGACGCUGAAGCGCGAAAGCCAGGGGAGCGAACGGGG